AUACUUAGCUGGCAAGGGAGACACCGUGAUCAAGAAGGCGCUUCACCCAGGGCGAGGCUCAGCUUGUGCACUCCGGCUGUGCUGACCCCUGCGAAUUUCCCAAAUGUGGAAUUCUCGAUUGCAUAAUUUCUGGUAGUGGGGGACUGCGUUCGCGCUCUCCCCUG
rnacentral:snRNA from 8 species